GUCAAGUUGCUAGUAACAACUUCGAAGAGGUGCCUGGGUGUCCUAGUGGCUUCUCAGCACUUGUUCUAUUCCACAUGUUUACUUGCGAUAUUGAUAACUUCCUUGUGUGCCAUAACUCUCUGUGAGCAGAGAAACAAUUUGACUCAUUGAUAUCUCCCCAAACCUACAAAAAUCAUCUGUUACAUACAGAAUAGUUCCUAGAUGUGUGACAUAACCUCUCUGGACCUCCAUUUGCAUAUGAAUAAUGAAGAUAUGACUACAAAAUGUGUGGGUCAAUACAAGAUUGAAAUCAUGUACCUUUUUUUUGUAAAUUGGAAGGCAUUCAAUAAAUACAGUUGUGAUUAAUUGCAUGCUGCUGUGUAACGCAUUUACUUCAAAUCAUAGUGGUUUAAAACAACACUUUUUUCUCAUAUUUCUUAUAGGUCCAGAGUUUGGGAGCAGUUUACCUAGAUGGUUCUGACUCGGGA